UCCCUGUGAAGACGGUAAAUGGUGGGUUUC
rnacentral:piRNA from 1 species